rnacentral:rRNA from 1 species
GACGAACGCUGGCGGCGUGCUUAACACAUGCAAGUCGAGCGGAGCGGCGAACGGGUGAGUAACGCGUGAGUAACUGCCCCCCUCUCUGGGAUAACAGUUGGAAACGGCUGCUAAUACCGGAUAGUGGGGGAUGACUCGCGUCCUAUCAGCUUGUUGGUGGGGUAGUGGCCUACCAAGGCGACGACGGGUAGCCGGCCUGGGAGGGCGACCGGCCACAUUGGGCUGAGAUGCGGCCCAGAAUCCGACGGGAUGGAGCAGUGGGGGAUAUUGGAGAAUGGGCGAAAGACUGAUGCAGCGAGGCGCGUGGGGGAUGAAGGCGUUCGGGUUGUAAACCUCUUUCGCUAUCGAAAGGGUAGGUGGAGAAGAAGCGCCGGCUAACUACGUGCCAGCAGCCGCGGUAAUUC